rnacentral:lncRNA from 1 species
UUGUAGAAAAAUUUAAAACUACAGAAAAGCCAGGUGUGGUGGCAUGUGCCUGUAAUGUCAUCUACUCAGGAGGCUGCGGCCGGGGAAUUGAAGACCCACCUGGGCAGCCUAGUGAGACCCACAACUCAGAAAAAUAGAUUAAUAAACAAAUAAAUAAUGAAACAGCAGAAAUCUAAAAGGAAGAGAAGGAAAUUACCCCUAGUAAAAGCAGAAAAAUUUAAAAAUUGAAAUCAGAAUUCCCCAAACAAAUAAACCAAAGCAAUCAUCCCUGUUCCCACAUUUGGAGAGGAGGGCACAGGUCCGAGGGCCACCUUCCAUGCCCAUCACUUCCCGCCCUCACAUCUGCUCCUGGGGCUGGCUGUUGCUUGACAGCAGGACCCAGUGUCCCCGGGGCGUUGGGUCAGG